rnacentral:rRNA from 1 species
GACCUCGGAUCAGGUAGGGAUACCCGCUGAACUUAAGCAUAUCAAUAAGCGGAGGAAAAGAAACCAACAGGGAUUGCCUCAGUAACGGCGAGUGAAGCGGCAACAGCUCAAAUUUGAAAUCUGGCCUUCGGGUCCGAGUUGUAAUUUGCAGAGGAUGCUUCGAGCAUGGUCUAGUCUAAGUUCCUUGGAAUAGGACGUCAUAGAGGGUGAGAAUCCCGUAUGCGACUGGGUGCCUAAGCUCAUGUGAAGCUCCUUCGACGAGUCGAGUUGUUUGGGAAUGCAGCUCAAAAUGGGUGGUAAAUUUCAUCUAAAGCUAAAUAUCGGCCAGAGACCGAUAGCGCACAAGUAGAGUGAUCGAAAGAUGAAAAGCACUUUGGAAAGAGAGUUAAAUAGCACGUGAAAUUGUUGAAAGGGAAGCGCUUGCAAUCAG